UCAUAGACUAUGCUCGUGUCAUGGACUGGACGGAAGGAAGAGUACUUUUGUUUUGCUGAACACUAAUGUGCUUGUUAUUCAUUCGUCUAUGACAUUGUAAACAGAGGAGAGCAGCUUUGUCGUAAGCCUCAGUUAGCUGCAAGACUUGCUAUAGGGAAAUACAGAUAUGGGAGCAUUGGUGAUAAGGUGUCUCACGAGCAGUUGACUAUAUUACUUUCCAAGCUAUGAAAUAAGUGGACGAAACCAUAAUGUGAAAUUCAUUAUUCCAUCUCCAGGAAACACAGAUGUUGGUCCAAAGGCUGCUGACAAAGGUUUCAAAUGCGAUGAUGGUGUUUGGUAUCUCGACCAUCUAGAUGUCCCUUGGGAUGAAACAUAUAAUGCUGAUCAACUUGAAGGAAUACAUGAUUCUUCCAAGCAAAAGCUUGUCCCUUGGAGGAGAGGUAUGCAUAUGGGGUAAGACUGGUGAUCCAUCCAAUGUUUAACAAACAAUAUGGCCUCGAACUGCUGCAAGUAUAAUAUAUGUAGUAAAAACUAGAUAAUCACUACAACAUAUGUUUAAGUUGUAAAAUAGAACCCAAGCUACACUUUCUGUGAAAAUGGGUAUUUGGUAUUGGCAGAAGUACUCUAGUUGCAUUUAUUUGUCAAUUCUUGUGUGCUUGCAUAUUUGUGAUAAAUGUGCAUUUCUUGCUUUCACAUCUCGAUACCAGUUGUUGAAUUGUUUGAAGGUGACCUUUAUACUUCCCUGUAUGUAGCAUGGUUAAUGCCAUGUUGGCACUCUACUUGUUGCUCUUCAAUACUGCAUUAGGAUCCAGAAAAAUAUUAUACAGUUGUUGAAUUCUUAUCCCCGACCC